CACCUUGUGUAAUGAAAAACCCAGGUCUAUAAUCUGUCCCUAUAUAUUCUGCAUGCAUUGAGCUAGCCCCAACCCCUCAGGGACCCGGUGCAGACGUGGAACCUGUUUCACUCAACAACUGCUAUUGGAAGGAAAAAAAGAAGCAAAUGAUACCAAGACAAGCUCAUAAAGGAGAUCUACUCAUCAGAUGUGUAUGGACGAAAAUACAGUAAGAUGAGUCAGAAAGCGCGGAAGGAGGGUCCCAGACUCUCCAAGAACCAGAGACUCUCCGAGCACUUCAGCAUACACUGCUGCCCGCCCUUCACUUUCCUCAACUCCAAGCGCGAGAUCGUGGACCGGAAAUACAGCAUCUGCAAGAGCGGCUGCUUCUACCAGAAGGAGGAGGAGGACCUGGUCUGCUGCGCGUGCCAGAAGACCAGAACCAGCCGCCGUGCAACGUCCCCUCAGAGGCCCAAGCAACCGCCAGCUGCGCCCCCCGCGGUGGUCAGAGCGCCGGCCAAGCCACGGUCCCCUCCGAGGUUGGAGCGCCAGCCACGCCCCCGCCCAGAGGCCCGACCGCCACCCGCCAAGCCGCGCCCCCCUCAGAAGGCCAAGAAACAGCCGCGCAGCAGCCCCGUCAGAGGGCCGGGCGCCAGCCGUGGGGGGUCCCCCGUCAAAGCUUCUAGGUUCUGGUAACACCAUCUCUUCCCUCUUGUUCCCCCAGCCCUAAGAUUGAAAAGGAGGAUCAAGCCAACCCCAAAGAAGAAGUGAUCGCGGAGGAAUUUCAAGUGAAUGGACGGCCUCAGCUCCUGGACUCCCUGCUUCACAACCCAACUGCCCUCGGACAAGUUAUCUGGCUUCAGAUAUGACGCAGGGGCAAACACCUGCUGAUGUGGCAACUGCUGAUGCCCAUGGCCCCCGUGGCGUGGGGGCCUUGAGGCAGCCCACCUGGAGCACUUUGAAGAUAUCAUCCCAUUGUCUUCCAACCUCUAUAAUUGUCAAUGAGAGAUUUGCUGUCAGUCUACUCAUGCUUCCAUGGACCCAAGUUUCUUCAAUCUGAAGAUAUAUGGUCUUUCUCCAGGGACGUGCAAAAAUUAAAAAAGAUAUUGUGGCACAACCAUCCAAAUGGCAAAAAUAAAAAAAAUUAUCAAGUAUUGGCAAGAAUGUGGGGAAAAUUCUCAUAAGCUACAUGAGAAUUUAUAAACUAUUAUAACAUCUUUGGGUUGUAAUCUGGGGAUACUAGUAAAGCAGUAUAUUAAAUAACCUGUGAUCAAGCAAUUAUGAUUUUAGGCCCCCAUCUUAGAGAAAACUUGCAUUCAUAGAAAAAGGAGAGACCCACAAAUUUGUUCUAUGAAUCAUUGUUUGGCAUUGUAAAAAGGAGGAAGAGAUAGAAAGAAAUUAGCCAAAAUGUCCACCAAUAGGAGAAUGAGUGAAUCAAUUGUGGCAUCUUCAUAAAUAAAAUCCUUAACAGCAAUUAAAUAAAUCAGAUAUGCCCACAUCAGGUAGAUAAUUUGGAGAAUAAAAUAAGGAAUAUAAAAAGUAAAUAGUAGAUGAUAAAUGCAAUAUGCUAUAUUAUGCAUAAGUUUUAACAACCCACAAUACUAUCUUGCAUAUUGCCCAAUAAGCAGAAGCCAUGAAGUCUCACACUUUCCCUAUAAUGCAACAAAAUAAAAAAAGACAACAAAGUAAAAGAAAAUAAAAAAAAUUAUCCUCUUGGAAAUAAAAAAGAAGAUUUUAAAUAACUCAUGUUUUGAAUGAAUAACAGAAAUGGAAAGCUAUAUAGAAAUGGUUAACAAUAUUAGCCUGAUGCAUAUUUGUUUGGAGAGAUAGGUGGGAGACCAAUGAAAAAUCGGGCGUGUCUUCAAGGUUACACAUCUUAGAAAACAAAAAUACUUGUUUUGGGUCAAUUUUGGAUCUGGACUUGGGAUUGUGGCUUCUGAUGAUUUCUGACACAGGGAAAAAGGGAAAUAGUUGGAAUACACCCUUACCCCUAAGCCUUCCUCUAGUAAUAGGUAAGAAAACACAGUAGAAGAAAAUAGAAUGUUGUAGAAUGUGGAGGAAUGUAAAUGGACAGUAUUAGGAUAGAGGGAAACUCAGAGUAGAGGAGAGUGAGAGCAUCAAGAGCAGUCUUGUGGCAGGAGCUGGUGUGGCCAAACAGUCAGAUGCCCAAAGCUCCAACAAGACCUAGCUAAUUUUGACACAAGUGAAAAUAUGGGGGCAAUGUCAGAGGAAGUCUUGUCCAAGGUGUGGGGUUGGGGUGACAGAGAAUGCCGGAAAGCAUGGAGGAAGACUGAUAGGCUUAGAUGAGCUAUGGCUCCGACUGCCAUGAUCCCAGAAAGAGAAAUCAAGCCAAGUACUGUCCAAGGCAGCUGGAGAGUGAGGCUAGAGCAUCCUGGCUUCCUCACCUGGAGAGACCAUGGCUCUCUCUGGAAGUGCCAAUAAAAAGGCAGGAGAAUUUAACUACAUGGACUCUUCAGGUAGAACUGUUUCUCUUGCCUAAAUUCAGGUGCUAAAUAAACAACAAACUGAGAACCUCUACUAUGAACAAUUUCGAAUGGUGAGAUAUCUGAGGCCAUUACAUUCCUGGGAAUAACAUGGUGGGGCACAGCGUAGUGGUGAGGGUGGUGGUGGAACACAUGACAGACCACUGGUAAGCGAGGACAAAUGACCCAUCCAGCCCCAGUAAGGAAACGUAGCAUCCUCCAGCCUGUUCUAGAUUUUGGCCAAGUGAGACCCCACACUCAGAGCUUGCUGGGCUCUGACCUUACAUGUCACCCCGAAGACACACACUUACUGUGGAAUGAUGGGGAGGGGAGAGCACAGUGCGUAUUAAUUCAUGCAAAAAGUUAUAUAUUCGCCCAGAAAUGUUAAUAACCAGAAAUUACUGAAUUGCCUAUGUUUGUCUGUUGUGGAAAUAAAACCUUCUGGGGAUGGAUCACAAAUAUCUGGAAAUUACUUGAAACUGAUGGAGAGCUAAAUGUAAUGUGCCUUGGAUAUUGCAACUAAAAUGUGCUACAAUUCAAUUAUAUUUUUUUUUUUUGUCUUUUAAGAGGAUUGGUUUUGGGGAGGACUACUUAGUAAAUACUGUAGAAAGGCUAUAAAGUCCCCAAAGCUGUUCUAUGUAAACUUCUUGAGUGGGAAAUUUUAACCACAAUGUUUGUCACAUGAUUCUGACAAUUCUGGAUGCUGAUUGAUUAUGCUCUGACAUUUUGACUGGUUUUGCGAAAAAUGAGGUGCGUACCCAGAGUUGUCCUGGUAAAUGCUUAACAAUUGGGUCUGUGGGUAAAAAAUCCUGAUUUAUAGUGUUUGCCAAUUUCCAUGGUGUAAAUAUUUCCACUAUGCUGAUUUCAAGCUACGAAUACAGAAUUGGGAAGAGAUGUGCACAACUGACUCUGGUCUAUCAGCACAGGCUGAUGCCAGUGCACCAGUGUAUAUACCCAAGUGCCUCUGUGAAGCUAGAGUUUACUACUAAAAAUUAUGCUCCAUAGAUAUACAAAGGCACUAGUUGGAGAAAAAAUAUAAAGGGGAUGACUAUAAAAUAAAUUCAAAUUGGGUAGCUCAAAUGGAGAAAAUUGGCAUAGAAUUUUUUUUUUUUUAACUUUGAGAUGCGGUAUUUGGCUAUAUUCACCUUUUAUUAUCUUUUGUUAGGCAAACAGGGUAUCUAUGUAUCAGAGAUGUUCUGAACUCUUAGUUUCUUUAGUGUUCUUCUAGAUGGAGGCUGGGGCUUCCUUCCUUUCAGAUAUUGGUGCUAAGGUGAUGCUGAGCAAAGAAUUGAUAGGACCUGCAACCUGUGAGGCCGGUUUCAGGAUGGCUGAACUGAGGGUCAAGAAUGAAGAAAAGAUAUGGAGUCUCCCAAAUUUUGGGGUAUCAGCAUUGAAAUUUAGACCUCUGAUUUGGAAUGACAAUAUGUAGCUUUUUGUGGUUGUUAACAUUAAUGAAAACAAGAAAAAUUAGCUGCUCGAAAGUUGAAAAAAUGGAUUAAUAAACUCUCUUAUUAUAAGAGUAAAGCAAAAGAACUUAUUAAAAUAGAGGUGAAUUGGAAA